rnacentral:rRNA from 1 species
UGGGGAAUUUUGGACAAUGGGCGCAAGCCUGAUCCAGCAAUGCCGCGUGCAGGAAGAAGGCCUUCGGGUUGUAAACUGCUUUUGUACGGAACGAAACGGCGAGCUCUAAUACAGUUUGCUAAUGACGGUACCGUAAGAAUAAGCACCGGCUAACUACGUGCCAGCAGCCGCGGUAAUACGUAGGGUGCAAGCGUUAAUCGGAAUUACUGGGCGUAAAGCGUGCGCAGGCGGUUUUGUAAGACAGUCGUGAAAUCCCCGGGCUCAACCUGGGAAUUGCGAUUGUGACUGCAAAGCUGGAGUGCGGCAGAGGGGGAUGGAAUUCCGCGUGUAGCAGUGAAAUGCGUAGAUAUGCGGAGGAACACCGAUGGCGAAGGCAAUCCCCUGGGCCUGCACUGACGCUCAUGCACGAAAGCGUGGGGAGCAAACAGG